rnacentral:sRNA from 1 species
AUUCUGCCCAUGCGGGGAAGGAUGAGAAGCUUCGACUAAGGUUCGGCUCGAGCGUCAGGAGAGAGCCGUUGCCGCAGGCAACGACCCGAAGGGCGAAGCGCGCAGCGCUGAGUAAUCCUUCCCCCACCACCA